CAGCAGAGGAUUCACCUCCGCGAUGCUGCAGCACAGAGAAGAGUGGAGGCGAUGAAAAACAUGAGCCCGGGCCACACACAGAUCCAAACUGUGGUUUCUCCAUCCAUGUCUGUGGAAGUGAUUUAGGACAGAAGUUGCUGGCCAGUGUUUACCACCAACUGGACCCACGCCCACUCUCUUCCCAUUGUCCUUCCUGUUGUCCGAGACCAGCUCAGACAGCUGCCGAAUCCGGUUUGUUCCUGCUUGGAGGAUCUCUAGGAGAGCUAAUUGGCACUGCCCAGGACGGCCUGUCCCUGCUCACAUCUCACCUACUACCACUUUGUACUAGUUCCUCAGUCCUCUGUGAAUAAACUCUUUACUUUGA